AAUAAACAGCUGUAACAACUAUAAACAUGUAAACAACAAAGAUCGGGCCCCGGUUCCGGACCCAGCGUAACCGCCCAACCAUGAGACGAUCACCUACUCGUCUCCCACAUUUUGCCAUUUGAUGGCCGGCAGAUGGCCGGACAUUUCUCUCUUCAGAUACGGCACAUAAUUGGUUUCACUUCUUAUCGUUAUUAACAUUUAAUCUUAUUUCUUAUUCCCCUGCAGGUUAUCUUCAAGCUGUUAUUUAUAAUUUCGUACUCGCGAACAUUUCCGGCAUUUUAAAGCAGAAUACCCUUUUUUCGUUGGCGACCUUCAUACAAUACCGGAGACCAAAAAAAAAAACGGCCAGAAGUUAUUGCCAGUCAACAAAGGACAGGAAAACAAGGGGAGAAAUAUAAACACAGUUAAUUAUUGCACCGAUGGGGAGCAAGUAUCCGCUAAAAUAAAUGCGUGUAUAACUUUGUGUUUACAACAAAAGGCGUUGUUUGCCAAAGAGCUUAUAUUACCUUGCCUGCCUAAAGAGCUCUCUGGGUGGGGGACACCUUAACCUGAGAUGCGUAACAUAUAUAUAUAUAUAUAUAU